rnacentral:misc_RNA from 1 species
GUUUUAGUUUGAGCUUGAGCUCUCAUGGUCUUCUUCUUCUGGUUUUGUGUUUUUGACUUUGGAUGAUUGAAAAUGUGACAGAUUGCUCUUGAGCAUUAAUUGUGAAUUGCUUCAAUUAAAUUCACAAUUGUUCACUGUGUAUAUGUAGGGCUGGCUUGGGUUCCUUCUGGUUUUGGCUCUUAUUUUUGUUCUGAAAAUGGACAGUAGAAUUGGAGUUUAGUGGAGAUCAAUUCCGAUAUAAUUCAAAUUGGCAGUUAUCAAAACUGGGCUAAUAAAGAGAGUGGUUGCAAAAUUGACGAUAAACUUCCCUAAUAUGUUUUG